rnacentral:rRNA from 1 species
UACGGGGGGAGCAAGCGUUGUUCGGAUUUACUGGGCGUAAAGGGCGCGUAGGCGGCCACCGCAAGUCGACUGUGAAAUCUCCGGGCUUAACCCGGAAAGGUCAGCCGAUACUGCGGGGCUAGAGUGCAGAAGGGGCAACUGGAAUUCCAGGUGUAGCGGUGAAAUGCGUAGAUAUCCGGAGGAACACCAGUGGCGAAAGCGGCCACCUGGACUGUACCUGACGCGUCAAACGCGAAAGCUAGGGGCGAACGGGAUUAGAAAACCCUGGUGAG